rnacentral:rRNA from 1 species
GACGAACGCUGGCGGCGUGCUUAACACAUGCAAGUCGAACGGAAAGGCCCUGCUUUUGUGGGGUGCUCGAGUGGCGAACGGGUGAGUAACACGUGAGUAACCUGCCCUUGACUUUGGGAUAACUUCAGGAAACUGGGGCUAAUACCGGAUAGGAGCUCCUGCUGCAUGGUGGGGGUUGGAAAGUUUCGGCGGUUGGGGAUGGACUCGCGGCUUAUCAGCUUGUUGGUGGGGUAGUGGCUUACCAAGGCUUUGACGGGUAGCCGGCCUGAGAGGGUGACCGGCCAAAUGGGGACGGGGAGAGGGCCCAGACCCCCACGGGAGGCAGGGGUGGGGAAUUUUGCAAAAUGGGCGGAGGCCUGAUGGAGCAACGCCGGGUGGGGGAUGACGGCCUUCGGGUUGUAAACCGCUUUCGCCUGUGACGAAGCGUGAGGGAGGGAAAUGGGGAAAGAAGCACCGGCUAACUACGG